UACGUAGGGUGCAAGCGUUGUCCGGAAUUAUUGGGCGUAAAGAGCUCGUAGGCGGUUUGUCGCGUCUGCUGUGAAAACUCGGGGCUUAACCCCGGGCCUGCAGUGGGUACGGGCAGACUAGAGUGCGGUGGGGGAGACUGGAAUUCCUGGUGUAGCGGUGAAAUGCGCAGAUAUCAGGAGGAACACCGGUGGCGAAGGCGGGUCUCUGGGACGUGACUGACGCUGAGACGCGAAAGCGUGGGGAGCAAACAGG
rnacentral:rRNA from 1 species